rnacentral:tRNA from 1 species
GGAAGGGUACAGCUCAGUGGUAGAGCGUAUGCUUUGUAUGCACGACGAGGUCCUGGGUUCAAUCCCCAGUACCUCCA